ACAUCUAUGGGGGUCUGAUCCAAGCAGGGCUGUGGUCAUUGCUCCCUGGACACUGCAUUGCAUAUGAGAUAGAGGGUCUGCUAAGCCAGCUGCUGAAGGAAGACUUUAUUUCCCAGGGGAAAUUCUAGCACAUCUGGGGCACUGUGGUCCUCACACUUGGUUUGGAUUCUCUUCCUGAUGACGGACGUCUGCUUUCUGGCAAGGAUGAAGACGCCAAGGCAAUGACACCUGACAGUCAUAUAGCUGAUAAGGAACAGCGCCAGGACCCAGAGCCAGGCAGUGUGACUGAGCAAGAGUCUGUGCUUUUAACGACUAGGUUUUGCUAGCCCAAAGCACAUACUUGAUACAC
rnacentral:lncRNA from 1 species